GCCUAAUGAUCCAGGCACCUGAAAUAAAUGACUUCCUAUUGCCCACAAACCUUCAGAAAAUCCAAGGCAAGGAAAGAAGCCCAGCAGUUGACAUCAACGUUCCUGGCCGGAGAAAGGAAGGUUUGCAGAAUGAAGGAUAGUCUGAUGAAGUCAAUACUUUAAAGCAUCUCUCCUCUGAUGGAUUUUUCAAGGUUGGCUCGCCUUAUCGGUACCCGCUCCUUCGAAAUGAAAGAAGAGAAUUUUGCAAAAGGGAUGGAGAGAUUUCUAGCAAAAUCAAGUGUGCUAGGAAAAGAUUCACCGUUUCCCUGAUCGGCCCUUGAUCUUAUGUUUUCCUCUGAAUCCUGAGAACUCUAGAAAUCUUCAGGACUUCAGCUUCCUCAACAUCUUCAUUAUGUAGUUCGAAACAGCUGUCCGAUUUCAAAGCUCAUUCUAGGUGGGGGAGAUCCUACCCAUGAGAAGUGUGGCUGAGAAAACCGAUGGUGAGCCUAUAUUAUUUGCAUGUAGCAGCAGAUCCUUGCCUUGUUAAUGUGUUUGUUCCAUGCCGGGCCUGUGUCUGUUUUCCAUGCUUUCUCCUGCCAAUCUCUCGUGAAGCCUUUGCUUGAAGAGGGUUUUCUGAUGGUUGCCCCCGUUACAGGCCCUCUCGGGAGUCCUUUAGCUCUGUCUGAGACUCCGCUUCCCUGGAUCUUUUAAUCACUUGUCUAUGUGGCUAUGAGGCAAAGUUAACAUGUGAGGGGGGGGGUGGUAUCAUUUCAAGUGUCAAUUAUGCAGUCAAUAUUAAUGAUUCAGGCCCAGAAAACCAUUUUUCUCCUUAAUAGAAUUUUUACCUGAGCUACCUGAUCAUUUUCAGAACUUUUCAUUUCACCUUGUUGACAUAGCAUGGAGUUUACUUUGUAGAAAUCUGGGAGGCUUUGUUCUGGGAGUCAUUAUUGUCACUCCAGUGGUGUUUUUUGCCUAUGCAAGGCCAGUGAGAUCAAAACAGCUCUGCCAUAUUGGGAAAACCCCCGUUCUUUGAGCCCCACGGAUGGUGUUUUAUCUUUUAGCAAAGCAGACUCCAUCUCUCUACCAUCCAUUCAUCAUCCACUUAUCCAUGAGAAUUUUUCAGAGGAACUGAUUGUUCUGGCCUUAUGGUGUAUUGGAAGAAUAUGUAACCAUUCUAUAUUAUUCAAAGAGCUAAGAGUGGAGGAUAUUUUCUUUGGAAAUUCUCUUGGAUUAAUCUCUUGAAAUGCAGAGUUUUUCUAAUUUACUUCUGGAUUUUUAUUAACUUGUACUUCAAACACCAUAGUUCAGGUAUGUGAAAAUUCACCUAAAACUCUGGGGUAUACCUACUAUAUCCUGCUUCUUCUGUAAUUUAUAUCCUGUUAGGCAUUGCCAGAUGAAAAUAUAUAUCCAUUUCCAAUUCUA